rnacentral:tRNA from 1 species
GUGGUUGUGGCUCAGAGGUAGAGCACUCACCUAGCAUGCGUGGGGCACUGGGUUCCAUCCUCAGUACCAUA